rnacentral:rRNA from 1 species
UACGUAGGCAGCAAGCGUUGUUCGGAGUUACUGGGCGUAAAGGGCGCGUAGGCGGCCUGUCAAGUCAAUUGUGAAAUCUCCGGGCUUAACUCGGAACGGUCAAUUGAUACUGUCAGGCUAGAGUGCAGAAAGGGCAAUCGGAAUUCUUGGUGUAGCGGUGAAAUGCGUAGAUAUCAAGAGGAACACCUGAGGCGAAGGCGGGUUGCUAGGCUGACACUGACGCUGAGGCGCGAAAGCCAGGGGAGCAAACGGG